UAUACCGUGAAACUGCGAAUGGCUCAUUAAAUCAGUUAUCGUUUAUUUGAUUAUACCUUACUACUUGGAUAACCGUGGUAAUUCUAGAGCUAAUACAUGCUGAAAAUCGCGACUUCGGAAGCGAUGUGUUUAUUAGAUAAAAAACCAAUGCCCUUCGGGGCUACUUGGUGAUUCAUGAUAAAUUUACGGAUCGCAUAGCCUUGCGCUGGCGACGGUUCAUUCAAAUUUCUGCCCUAUCAACUUUCGAUGGUAAGGUAUUGGCUUACCAUGGUUUCGACGGGUAACGGGGAAUUAGGGUUCGAUUCCGGAGAGGGAGCCUGAGAAACGGCUACCACAUCCAAGGAAGGCAGCAGGCGCGCAAAUUACACAAUGGCUAUUCGCCGAUGUAGUGACAAUAAAUACUGAUACAGGGCUCUUUUGGGUCUUGUAAUUGGAAUGAGUACAAUUUAAACCUCUUAACGAGGAACAAUUGGAGGGCAAGUCUGGUGCCAGCAGCCGCGGUAAUUCCAGCUCCAAUAGCGUAUAUUAAAGUUGUUGCAGUUAAAAAGCUCGUCGUUGAAACUUGGGCCUGGCUGGCGGGUCCGCCUCACCGCGUGCACUCGUCCGGCCGGGCCUUCCUUCUGAAGAACCUCAUGCCCUUCACUGGGCGUGUUGGGGAAUCAGGACUUUUACUUUGAAAAAAUUAGAGUGUUCAAAGCAGGCCUUUGCUCGAAUACGUUAGCAUGGAAUAAUAAAAUAGGACAGCGUUUCUAUUUUGUUGGUUUCUAGGA
rnacentral:rRNA from 1 species